rnacentral:rRNA from 1 species
GACGAACGCUGGCGGCGUGCUUAACACAUGCAAGUCGAACGAUGAAGCCGGAGCUUGCUCCGGUGGAUUAGUGGCGAACGGGUGAGUAACACGUGAGCAAUCUGCCCUUGACUCUGGGAUAACUGCGGGAAACUGUAGCUAAUACCGGAUACGACACCUUGGGGCAUCCCAGGGUGUGGAAAGAAUUUCGGUCAAGGAUGAGCUCGCGGCCUAUCAGCUAGUUGGUGAGGUAAUGGCUCACCGAGGCGACGACGGGUAGCCGGCCUGAGAGGGUGACCGGCCACACUGGAACUUAGACACGGUCCAGACUCCUACGGGAGGCAGCAGUGGGGAAUAUUGCACAAUGGGCGAAAGCCUGAUGCAGCAACGCCGCGUGAGGGAUGAAGGCCUUCGGGUUGUAAACCUCUUUUAGCAGGGAAGAAGCGAAAGUGACGGUACCUGCAGAAAAAGCACCGGCUAACUACGUGCCAGCAGCCGCAGUAACAC